GCCUGCAUGGCCUAGUGGUUUGAGCUCUGGACUGCAACUCUGGAGACCAGGGUUUGAUUCCCGCUUGGCCA
rnacentral:tRNA from 1 species